rnacentral:rRNA from 1 species
AGAGUUUGAUCCUGGCUCAGGACGAACGCUGGCGGCGUGGAUAAGACAUGCAAGUCGAACGAGAGAAUUGCUAGCUUGCUAAUAAUUCUCUAGUGGCGCACGGGUGAGUAACACGUGAGUAACCUGCCCCCGAGAGCGGGAUAGCCCUGGGAAACUGGGAUUAAUACCGCAUAGUAUCGAAAGAUUAAAGCAGCAAUGCGCUUGGGGAUGGGCUCGCGGCCUAUUAGUUAGUUGGUGAGGUAACGGCUCACCAAGGCGAUGACGGGUAGCCGGUCUGAGAGGAUGUCCGGCCACACUGGAACUGAGACACGGUCCAGACACCUACGGGUGGCAGCAGUCGAGAAUCAUUCACAAUGGGGGAAACCCUGAUGGUGCGACGCCGCGUGGGGGAAUGAAGGUCUUCGGAUUGUAAACCCCUGUCAUGUGGGAGCAAAUUAAAAAGAUAGUACCACAAGAGGAAGAGACGGCUAACUCUGUGCCAGCAGCCGCGGUAAUACAGAGGUCUCAAGCGUUGUUCGGAAUCACUGGGCGUAAAGCGUGCGUAGGCUGUUUCGUAAGUCGUGUGUGAAAGGCGCGGGCUCAACCCGCGGACGGCACAUGAUACUGCGAGACUAGAGUAAUGGAGGGGGAACCGGAAUUCUCGGUGUAGCAGUGAAAUGCGUAGAUAUCGAGAGGAACACUCGUGGCGAAGGCGGGUUCCUGGACAUUAACUGACGCUGAGGCACGAAGGCCAGGGGAGCGAAAGGGAUUAGAUACCCCUGUAGUCCUGGCAGUAAACGGUGCACGCUUGGUGUGCGGGGAAUCGACCCCCUGCGUGCCGGAGCUAACGCGUUAAGCGUGCCGCCUGGGGAGUACGGUCGCAAGAUUAAAACUCAAAGAAAUUGACGGGGACCCGCACAAGCGGUGGAGUAUGUGGCUUAAUUCGAUGCAACGCGAAGAACCUUACCUGGGCUUGACAUGUAAUGAACAACAUGUGAAAGCAUGCGACUCUUCGGAGGCGUUACACAGGUGCUGCAUGGCCGUCGUCAGCUCGUGUCGUGAGAUGUUUGGUUAAGUCCAGCAACGAGCGCAACCCCUGUUGCCAGUUACCAGCACGUGAAGGUGGGGACUCUGGCGAGACUGCCCAGAUCAACUGGGAGGAAGGUGGGGACGACGUCAGGUCAGUAUGGCCCUUAUGCCCAGGGCUGCACACGUACUACAAUGCCCAGUACAGAGGGGGCCGAAGCCGCGAGGCGGAGGAAAUCCUGAAAACUGGGCCCAGUUCGGACUGUAGGCUGCAACCCGCCUACACGAAGCCGGAAUCGCUAGUAAUGGCGCAUCAGCUACGGCGCCGUGAAUACGUUCCCGGGUCUUGUACACACCGCCCGUCA